rnacentral:rRNA from 1 species
UACGUAGGGGGCAAGCGUUGUCCGGAUUUAUUGGGCGUAAAGAGCGUGUAGGCGGCCAGGUAGGUCCGUUGUGAAAACUGGAGGCUUAACCUCCAGCUGUCGAUGGAAACCAUCUGGCUAGAGUCCGGAAGAGGAGAGUGGAAUUCCCGGUGUAGUGGUGAAAUGCGUAGAUAUCGGGAGGAACACCAGUGGCGAAGGCGACUACCUGGCCUGUUCUUGACGCUGAGGCGCGAAAGCUAGGGGAGCAAACGGG